GAUGAGCAUGCGUCCCAUUAGCUUGUUGGUAAGGUAACGGCUUACCAAGGCAACGAUGGGUAGGGGUCCUGAGAGGGAGAUCCCCCACACUGGUACUGAGACACGGACCAGACUCCUACGGGAGGCAGCAGUGAGGAAUAUUGGUCAAUGGGCGCAAGCCUGAACCAGCCAUGCCGCGUGCAGGAUGACGGUCCUAUGGAUUGUAAACUGCUUUUGUACGGGAAGAAACAACUCUACGUGUAGAGUCUUGACGGUACUGUAAGAAUAAGGAUCGGCUAACUCCGUGCCAGCAGCCGCGGUAAUACGGAGGAUCCAAGCGUUAUCCGGAAUCAUUGGGUUUAAAGGGUCCGUAGGCGGUUUAGUAAGUCAGUGGUGAAAGCCCAUCGCUCAACGGUGGAACGGCCAUUGAUACUGCUAGACUUGAAUUAUUAGGAAGUAACUAGAAUAUGUAGUGUAGCGGUGAAAUGCUUAGAGAUUACAUGGAAUACCAAUUGCGAAGGCAGGUUACUACUAAUGGAUUGACGCUGAUGGACGAAAGCGUGGGUAGCGA
rnacentral:rRNA from 1 species